AGAACGAACGCUGGCGGCAUGCCUAAUACAUGCAAGUCGAACGAACACUUCGGUGUUAGUGGCGCACGGGUGCGUAACGCGUGGGAAUCUGCCCUUGGGUUCGGAAUAACAGUUGGAAACGACUGCUAAUACCGGAUGAUGACGAAAGUCCAAAGAUUUAUCGCCCAGGGAUGAGCCCGCGUAGGAUUAGCUAGUUGGUGAGGUAAAGGCUCACCAAGGUCGACGAUCCUUAGCUGGUCUGAGAGGAUGAUCAGCCACACUGGGACUGAGACACGG
rnacentral:rRNA from 1 species